AAACAAGAUCAGACUAGCCUAAUUUGGAAGACUUAUCACUCUCAUCCAUAAGAUUACAGAAGCAUUCUGCAAAACAUAUGUAUGGACUCAACAACAUGAAAAAGUAUAUUUCAGAAUAAGAAAAUUGGUAGAAAUAAGGACAAAUGUUCAUGACAGCAUUAUCUUCUCCUGCUUCAUGUGCUGUGCUGUAAUUUUUCCUAGUGUUUUCUACUCCCACCUCUAAGGCAGUCAGUUGGUUAUGUUCUAUGAUACCAUUGGUAAUAUACUUUAAUGCAUCUCAUUAUGAUGUCAUUCUAUGAUCCAAUCUGUCGUUGACAACUUGGAUCUUGUCAGAUGCAUUCUGAGCAACUCUUAUGUCUCACAUCCCAGACAUAUCUUCGGCUAAGAUAAAAAUUAUAUGGGGAAGAAUCUGGAGGAAGAGAAUAACAAUCAAGCAUGGUAAUGGAUGAAUAUCUUCACCAUAAAACUGCUGAACUUGUAGGAGUCAAGAUGAAGCACGUCUGUAUGCAGCGACAGAGCCUUCAGGAAUCAAUCUGUGUAAUUUGUUUCCUCUUCUAUCACCUUUGUACACAAAGAGCAGUGUUGUGCUUACCUUUUAGUUACGUCAAAAGAAAAGAAGGACAUAAAGCAUAGGGUAUUUCCAUUCCGUGCACAUAAAGGAUCCUAGGCAAGUCAAGCAGUGUGUGGCAUGAGCUUUGAAAAAAGCUUUACUCAAAAAGUACUUGUGGUACAACAACCUGGAUAGCUGGAAGAUUCAAGAUCAAUGCUAAGCCCAACAUAAAGCCAGAGGAUAAUGAAAAUAAACAAAGAAGAAUAAUGGUUUAAUAUUUCUUC
rnacentral:lncRNA from 12 species